AGCUAGCAUAUCAAUAAGCGGAGGAAAAGAAACCAACAGGGAUUGCUCUAGUAACGGCGAGUGAAGCAGCAAUAGCUCAAAUUUGAAAUCUGGCGCCUUCGGCGUCCGAGUUGUAAUUUGUAGAGGAUGCUUCUGGGCAGCCACCGACCUAAGUUCCUUGGAACAGGACGUCAUAGAGGGUGAGAAUCCCGUAUGCGGUCGGAAAGGCACCCUACACGUAGCUCCUUCGACGAGUCGAGUUGUUUGGGAAUGCAGCUCUAAAUGGGAGGUAAAUUUCUUCUAAAGCUAAAUAUUGGCCAGAGACCGAUAGCGCACAAGUAGAGUGAUCGAAAGAUGAAAAGCACUUUGGAAAGAGAGUUAAAAAGCACGUGAAAUUGUUGAAAGGGAAGGGAUUGCAACCAGACUUGCUCGCGGUGUUCCGCCGGUCUUCUGACCGGUCUACUCGCCGCGUUGCAGGCCAGCAUCGUCUGGUGCCGCUGGAUAAGACUUGAGGAAUGUAGCUCCCUCGGGAGUGUUAUAGCCUCUUGUGAUGCAGCGAGCGCCGGGCGAGGUCCGCGCUUCGGCUAGGAUGCUGGCGUAAUGGUUGUAAUCCGCCCGUCUUGAAACACGGACCAAGGAGUCUAACAUCUAUGCGAGUGUUCGGGUGUCAAACCCCUACGCGUAAUGAAAGUGAACGGAGGUGAGAACCGCAAGGUGCAUCAUCGACCGAUCCUGAUGUCUUCGGAUGGAUUUGAGUAUGAGCAUAGCUGUUGGGACCCGAAAGAUGGUGAACUAUGCCUGAAUAGGGUGAAGCCAGAGGAAACUCUGGUGGAGGCUCGCAGCGGUUCUGACGUGCAAAUCGAUCGUCAAAUUUGGGUAUAGGGGCGAAAGACUAAUCGAACCAUGUAAUUUGUAU
rnacentral:rRNA from 2 species